rnacentral:rRNA from 1 species
GCUCUCUGGGUGGCGAGUGGCGGACGGGUGAGGAAUACAUCGGAAUCUACCUUUUCGUGGGGGAUAACGUAGGGAAACUUACGCUAAUACCGCAUACGACCUUAGGGUGAAAGCGGAGGACCUUCGGGCUUCGCGCGGAUAGAUGAGCCGAUGUCGGAUUAGCUAGUUGGCGGGGUAAAGGCCCACCAAGGCGACGAUCCGUAGCUGGUCUGAGAGGAUGAUCAGCCACACUGGAACUGAGACACGGUCCAGACUCCUACGGGAGGCAGCAGUGGGGAAUAUUGGACAAUGGGCGCAAGCCUGAUCCAGCCAUGCCGCGUGGGUGAAGAAGGCCUUCGGGUUGUAAAGCCCUUUUGUUGGGAAAGAAAAGCAGUCGGUUAAUACCCGAUUGUUCUGACGGUACCCAAAGAAUAAGCACCGGCUAACUUCGUGCCAGCAGCCGCGGUAAUACGAAGGGUGCAAGCGUUACUCGGAAUUACUGGGCGUAAAGCGUGCGUAGGUGGUUGUUUAAGUCCGUUGUGAAAGCCCUGGGCUCAACCUGGGAAUUGCAGUGGAUACUGGGCAACUAGAGUGUGGUAGAGGAUGGCGGAAUUCCCGGUGUAGCAGUGAAAUGCGUAGAGAUCGGGAGGAACAUCUGUGGCGAAGGCGGCCAUCUGGACCAACACUGACACUGAGGCA